rnacentral:snoRNA from 1 species
CUAGCAAGCUCAAGGCCCUGGGUUCGAUCUUCAGCUCCAGAAACAAAAACAAAAACAAACUUCUGAGUGUCGGAAGUAUGCUUCAUUGAAUGAGGCAGGAUUUUUGCUAACACCAGUAGAGCGUGCCUCUAUGACUGGAGUUGAUAGUGGUCACUGCCACAUAU